rnacentral:rRNA from 1 species
UACAGAGGUCCCAAGCGUUGUUCGGAUUCACUGGGCGUAAAGGGUGCGUAGGCGGUCGGGUAAGUCUGAUGUGAAAGCUCUGGGCUUAACCCAGAAAUGGCAUUGGAUACUAUUCGGCUUGAGGUCUGGAGGGGGGACUGGAAUUCUCGGUGUAGCAGUGAAAUGCGUAGAUAUCAGGAGGAACACCUGUGGCGAAAGCGGCUCACUGGACCAUAACUGACGCUGAUGCACGAAAGCUAGGGGAGCAAACAGG